rnacentral:rRNA from 1 species
ACGUAGGUGGCAAGCGUUGUCCGGAUUUAUUGGGUUUAAAGGGUGCGUAGGCGGCCUUGUAAGUCAGUGGUGAAAUACUCUAGCUUAACUAGAGGGGUGCCAUUGAUACUGCAGGGCUUGAGUACAGACGAGGUAGGCGGAAUUGACGGUGUAGCGGUGAAAUGCAUAGAUAUCGUCAAGAACUCCGAUAGUGAAGACAGCUUACUAGGCUGUAACUGACGCUGAGGCACGAAAGUGUGGGGAUCAAACAGGA